GAUGAAGAACGUAGCUAAAUGCGAUACUUGGUGUGAAUUGCAGAAUCCCGUGAACCAUCGAGUCUUUGAACGCAAGUUGCGCCCGAAGCCAUUAGGCCGAGGGCACGCCUGCCUGGGCGUCACACGUCGUUGCCCCCCCAUCUACUCCUUCGGGAUUGCGGGGGGCGGAUGAUGGCCUCUCGUGCGCCUCGUCGCGCGGUUGGCCUAAAUGCCAAGUCCUCGGCGACGCACGCCACGACAAUCGGUGGUUGCGAAACCUCGGUUGCCUGUCGUGUGCGGUCGUCGCGCAUCGAGGGCUCGAAAAAAUUGCCGGGCUUCGGCUCGACUUUCAACGCGACCCCAGGUCAGGCGGGGUUACCCGCUGAAUUUAAGCAUAUCAAUAAGCGGAGGA
rnacentral:misc_RNA from 1 species